rnacentral:rRNA from 1 species
UGCCAGCAGCCGCGGUAAUACGGAGGGGGCUAGCGUUGUUCGGAAUUACUGGGCGUAAAGCGUACGUAGGCGGAUCAGAAAGUAUGGGGUGAAAUCCCAGGGCUUAACCCUGGAACUGCCUUUAAAACUCCUAGUCUUGAGUUCGAGAGAGGUGAGUGGAAUUCCAAGUGUAGAGGUGAAAUUCGUAGAUAUUUGGAGGAACACCAGUGGCGAAGGCGGCUCACUGGCUCGAUACUGACGCUGAGGUGCGAAAGUGUGGGGAGCGAACAGGAUUAGAUA